UACGUAGGCAGCAAGCGUUGUUCGGAGUUACUGGGCGUAAAGGGUGUGUAGGCGGGCGGAUAAGUGUGGUGUGAAAUCUCCCGGCUCAACUGGGAGGGUGCGCUACAAACUGUCUGGCUAGAGUGCGGGAUGGGAAAGUGGAAUUCCUGGUGUAGCGGUGAAAUGCGUAGAUAUCAGGAGGAACACCGGUGGUGUAGACGGCUUUCUGGACCGUAACUGACGCUGAAACACGAAAGCGUGGGUAGCAAACAGG
rnacentral:rRNA from 1 species